GUCGUAACAAGGUAGCCGUAGGGGAACCUGCGGCUGGAUCACCUCCUUAACUAAAGCACUAAGUGAGAAUUCACAGCAAGUUGUUCUUGUGUAGUAAGCUAAUAAUCGUUAAUCUACAGCAGCGCAAAUAGCAAGGCUAAGACUAAAAUCCUUAGCAAAGGAUUUUAGCUCGAACCUAAAAUUGCGAUGCAAUUUUUUAACGGUUCUCGGGGUCUAUAGCUCAGUUGGUUAGAGCACUGCCUUGAUAAGGCAGGGGUCAUAAGUUCAAGUCUUAUUAGACCCACCAUUUAACCAGAGGUUAAAUGCUUUAGAAUUUACUUCGUAAAUUCUCUUGCGCUCGGGCAAAGCGAUGCUUUGCUGAUCCUUGCUCAGGGGCCAUAGCUCAGUUGGUAGAGCGCCUGCCUUGCACGCAGGAGGUCAGGAGUUCGACUCUCCUUGGCUCCACCAUAAUUAGCUUAACGUUAUAAAGCAGACAGAGUAAUUUAGUAAGUAUUAAGAGAUUACUUCAAUCUGUUUUAUCAGAAAUCACGACCUGACGAGGGUCUGAUAAUUCAAUAACAACAUAGAGAAAUGAGUCUGGGUUAAUUAUCAAGUUCCAACGAAGAUAAUUAACCUUAGUAAUCAGCCAAUCAGACCCAAAGAAAUGAUUGGAACAACUGAUUACUUAAAAGUAAAGAGAACUGAAUCAAGCGUAAACAUAGGUGAAGAUCGUUACCAUUACCUAUACGACCCUUUAGGGUUGUAUAGUCAAGUAAUGAAGUGCACAUGGUGGAUGCCUUGGCAGUCAGAGGCGAUGAAAGACGUGACAGCCUGCGAAAAGCGUCGGGGAGGCGGCAAUAUCCUGUGAUCCGGCGAUAU
rnacentral:misc_RNA from 1 species